rnacentral:rRNA from 1 species
CAAUAGCGUAUAUUAAAGUUGUUGCAGUUAAAAAGCUCGUAGUUGGAUUUCUGGUAGGAGCGACCGUGCCGAACUUGAUUGUUCGAGUAUUGUGUUGUCUUCAGCCAUCCUCGUGGAGAACUUUUCUAACAUUAACUUGUUGGGAUUGGGACCCGCGUCGUUUACUGUGAAAAAAUUAGAGUGUUUAAAGCAGGCAUUAGCUUGAAUACAUUAGCAUGGAAUAAUAAGAUAGGACUUUGGUACUAUUUUGUUGGUUUGCAUACCAAAUUAAUGAUCAACAGGAACAGUUUGAGGAUAUUCGUAUGAACAUGUCAGAGGCGAAAUUCUUGGAUUUUGAUCAGACGAACUACUGCGAAAGCAUUUAUCAAGGAUGUUUUCAUUAA